UUACAUGAUAUCACUCCCUGUUCCAUGGCUUGUGGAUGGAUGAGUGUGGUGUUUGUGAGAGUCCCCAGGAUGAGGUGAGAGAUGAAUCUGACUCCAUGUCUCAGAAGGCUGAUUUAUUAUUAUAUUGUAUUGUAUUAUCUGCUAUACUAAAACUAUACUAAAGAAAGAGAGAGGAUGCAUCAGAAGCUUUAACAAGAAUGAAUAAUAAAAACCCGUGACUGACUCCUCAGAGUCUGACACAGCUGGACCAUGACUGGUCAUUAAUUAAAAACAAUUCACAUGCUGGAUAAACCCUCUCCAAAUCACAUUCCAGAGCAGCAAAACAGGGAGAAGCUGAAGCUUCCCAGCUUCCCAGGAGAAGAAAUCCUGGCAAAGGGAUUUUUCAGGAAAUAUCAUGAUCACAGCUUGCUUGGAAUCCCCACACAGGAACGUGCCAGAAACAUCAAUCAGCAAUGUUCAUAAAAUCAUCCCUUAUGUCCAUAAAACAAGUUGUUCUUCAUAAUUCAGUGGUCCAUGUGGAAAAUGGAUUCUCCAGUGUGGAGCUGCUCUUGUGUUUCUCUUAGGUUUGUUCAAAGCAGUGAUUUCCACUUGUAUCUCUAAUCAGGUGUUUGACUUUGAACUGACUGUUCAAAGAGGAGAUGAACUAUUCUGUCCUUCAACAGAAACUGGAGGAUCUGUGCAAUGAACGUGUCCAAAAAUCUCAAGGAAUACCCUUUCCAUGCAGAAUACUGAAGGGGCUUGUAACAUGCCUUUCACCAGACCUCUGGUGCCAUCUGCCAGUGAAGACAUGGGAUGUUUAUCCCACAACAUUUGGGGUUUUUGGAAGAAGGAAAGAGGAUUUUCUACAGCACCACUAUUCACUGGUUGCCUUCAGUCUUGCAUCAGCAGAAACCAGAUGUUGACAAACACACCCCACAGAUCCACUAUUUCAUCAGAGGUGUCUGCAUUUUAAAUAAAAUUAACUUUGAAAUGCAAAAACCUAA